CAUGCACUGGUGGGGUCCCUCGGCCUGGCCUGUGGGGAUCGGCUUUCUGACAUCCCCUGAGGCAUCCCGGAUUGCGAGAUUACACAGGCCAGGCCGAGGGACCCACCAGUGCAUU
rnacentral:pre_miRNA from 1 species